GAUCCAGAAUCUGCCAAAUCAUCUUGGAUCAUUUAAGCGAGGUACGAAGAACGGACCCCAGCGCGUAGGGUUUUGUUGGGGCAGUCUUUGUUUAUUUUCAGACUGGAGAGGAGCAGAAGGAGGAGACUCACAAGAGAAACGGUGGAGAUAUGCUUGAAGACCUGGAACUCAGCAAGCAGGUACAACUGCUUGAACAGACUGAACAAUAGAGUUAUCUAACUAAAGACUUUAUAUCUUUCUCUUUGGCAGAUUGGCAUAGAGCAUGUGCAGGAACAUGGUCAAUAAUAACAAGUGCAUCGGAAUACAUUAGGUACAUCCUUACAUUAAGUUAAAUAAAGUCAACUUAAAUAAAACAAUCUAAUUAUACAAUUUAAUUUUUACAGUGUCACAGAAGGGCCAGGAUUCAAGUGAAUGAUAAACAGUUUAUUUACAGAAUGGCAGGUGAGUAUACACAGGUGAGUACAUUGAUGUAGAUGAUAAGUCCAUGAACAUAAACUAGAUAUGACUGCAGGCUUUGAGACUGGAGACAGAUACCACAGACGGCAAACAGGACGAAGACCAGAUGAGAAACCAGGAGACUCCACACUAGGAGAGAAUUGGAGAACACUGGAUAGGUAUGUAAACUGAUAUCGAAAAAUCCACUGUGUAUAGGGAGUUCUGUCUAUUCUGUACAACCAAAGAGGCCAAACAAUGAGGGAAUCUGAGUGGAGUCUUUAUAGUGCUGUGAUGAUGAUGGUGAUGAUUGUCAGAUGUGUGUCUGAUUAGACUCAGGUGAGGGUGCUCAUGGUGCUUCAGUGGGUGGAGAACCUGGUCUUACUGUGACAGUAAGUGAUGGUUGACUAUUUCUUCAGAUAGACAGAGAUAUAAAAUUUUUGUUUGUUUGUAAGCUUCAUUUGUAUUUUGCUAUCUGAUUUAUGAGACUGUCAUUUGUUAUCCCAUCAGAUAAAUUAAUCUUUUUUUUAUUUGUGUGCUGUCAGCUUUCAGAAUGAUCGGAAGGGACCACAUGGAGAAAAAAAAGGGAAUCACACACCUCAGCAAGGACUGGAUGGUCAGGGAAUUAUUUUUAUAACAUCAGAUGGACAGGUGAGUCGAUGGACAUCCUUCCAAGAUAAAGGCAUGUUGGUUGGUGUAGAUAGUAAUUAGGCCUUGUCUGUGUCAGGUUUUUCUUUUUCAAAUAAUGGAGCAGGCAGAAGAGGGAGACUCACAAAAGCAUUGGUGGACAUGUAUCUAAAAAAUGCUGGAGAACAGCAGAUUGGAAUGGACCUCAUGGAGGCAAAAAGGGAAUCACAGACCUCAGCAAUGACUGGAAAUUGAUGGUCAGGGAUUUUUUAAAAAAAAAAAAUAUAUACAUCUGAUUGACGUGUGACUCGAUGGACGGCCUUCCAAGAUGGAGUGGUGGUUGGUAUAGAUAGUAAUUAGGCUUUGUCUGUGUCAGAGUUCUUUUUUUCAGGUUUUAGAGGCAGAAGCAGGCAGAAGAAGGAGACUCACAAGGACAUCGGUGAAGAACAGCACGUAGGGCUUUGUUAGGGCUGUCUUUGUCUUUUGCAGGUUGGAGUGGAGCAGAAUGAGACUCACAAGGGGAACGGUGGAGAUAUACUAGAAGACCUGGAGCUCAGGCAGAGGGUAGAACUGCUUGAACAGACUGAACAAUGGAGUUAGUUUUCGAAAGAAAUGUUCUGAGAUUAAUUAAAGACCUGAUAUCUUUCUCUUUGGCAGAUUGGCAUGGAGCAUGUGAAGGAAAAGAGAAACACGUCAGUAAUGACAAGUACAUCAUGAUAAAUUAGGUAAUGGACAAACAACAGGCAGAAAAGGAAACUCACAAGAGCAUCUGUGGAGAUUUACCUGAUGAACACUGGAUAACAGCUUGUGCAUUUCUGGAGCUCAUCAAGUAUGUAGAGCUCUGUUAGUCAUGUCUUUUUCUAUUACAGACAGGAGUGCAGCAUGUGGAGUAAAGUAGGAAUUCACACCUCAGCAAUGACUGGACACUGAUGGUCAGGAAUAUCCUUCAAAGGCAGAAGGAUGGGUGCAUGGAUGGAUGUCCUUCCAGGAGGAAGGGGGUGGUGGUGGGCAUAGAUGGUUGGAUAAAUGUCUUGUCUGUGGCUGUUAUUUACAUUGUAGGUAAUGGAACAACAACAGGCAGAAGAAGGAGACUCACAAGCAGAAUGGUGAAUAUGUAUCUGAAGAACACUGGAGAACAAUUGGUUUAUUGCUGGAGAUCAGCCAGCAAAUAGAGCUUUAUUAGUCUUGUUUUUGUCUUUUGCAGAUUAGACUGGGGCAUGUGGAGAAAUGGGAAUCACACCUCAGCAAUGACUGCAAACUGAUGGUCUGGUUGGGUAUUUUUCAGAUUGAUGGAUGGAUGGAUAGAUUAAUGAAUGAUGGAUGGCUGGUCGGAUGGUAGAUGUCGUAGAUACGUAGAUGUCCUUCCUAGAGGAAGGGCGUGGAG